GACAGAGAGAGAGAGAGAGACAGAGAGAGAGGUAUUUCCUGAAAGUGAAACAUUUGUGCUUCUCAAGGAAAAGGAGAGGAUCGUACCCCCUAGAAGGGUACUGGCCCCUUUACAGGUUCAAGUUCCUGCUCUUUACUUUCUCAGUGAAGCAAAUUUAUGGACUUGGUAUUCUUAAGGAAUUUGAGUGUGAUGGGUCUGAAAAGAAAGGAGUCAACCUUAGCCAAGGCAAUGCCAGUAUGGAUCACCGUGGGUAGCUUCUGCUGGUUCCUGGAAGUUUCAGUCUUCUUAAAAGUAUAACUUUUAGUUAUGA